AGAGUUUGAUCCUGGCUCAGGACGAACGCUGGCGGCGUGCCUAAUACAUGCAAGUCGAGCGGAUGUUUUAGGGAGCUUGCUCCUUGAAACAUUAGCGGCGGACGGGUGAGUAACACGUGGGCAACCUGCCCUGCAGAUGGGGAUAACUCCGGGAAACCGGGGCUAAUACCGAAUAAUCUGUUUCACCUCAUGGUGAAAUAUUGAAAGACGGUUUCGGCUGUCGCUAUAGGAUGGGCCCGCGGCGCAUUAGCUAGUUGGUGAGGUAACGGCUCACCAAGGCGACGAUGCGUAGCCGACCUGAGAGGGUGAUCGGCCACACUGGGACUGAGACACGGCCCAGACUCCUACGGGAGGCAGCAGUAGGGAAUCUUCCACAAUGGGCGAAAGCCUGAUGGAGCAACGCCGCGUGAGUGAAGAAGGAUUUCGGUUCGUAAAACUCUGUUGUAAGGGAAGAACAAGUACAGUAGUAACUGGCUGUACCUUGACGGUACCUUAUUAGAAAGCCACGGCUAACUACGUGCCAGCAGCCGCGGUAAUACGUAGGUGGCAAGCGUUGUCCGGAAUUAUUGGGCGUAAAGCGCGCGCAGGUGGUUUCUUAAGUCUGAUGUGAAAGCCCACGGCUCAACCGUGGAGGGUCAUUGGAAACUGGGAGACUUGAGUGCAGAAGAGGAUAGUGGAAUUCCAAGUGUAGCGGUGAAAUGCGUAGAGAUUUGGAGGAACACCAGUGGCGAAGGCGACUAUCUGGUCUGUAACUGACACUGAGGCGCGAAAGCGUGGGGAGCAAACAGGAUUAGAUACCCUGGUAGUCCACGCCGUAAACGAUGAGUGCUAAGUGUUAGGGGGUUUCCGCCCCUUAGUGCUGCAGCUAACGCAUUAAGCACUCCGCCUGGGGAGUACGGUCGCAAGACUGAAACUCAAAGGAAUUGACGGGGGCCCGCACAAGCGGUGGA
rnacentral:rRNA from 1 species